rnacentral:lncRNA from 1 species
UUUUUUUUUUUUUUUUUUUUACUUUUUGCAUAAAAGUAUAGUUCUAUGUCGUUUUACCACCCAGGGACAUGUGUGUAACCACCACUGCAGUCAAUUUAUAGUAUUAUUCUAUCACCUAAAGAUAUUCCUUAUGCUACUCCUUUGUAGUCAUACCAUCCCAAGAUCCCUAAUCCCCACCCAAGAUUCCUAAUCCCUGACAACACAUAAUAUGUUUUCCAUCUCUGCAAUUUCUUCUUUCUUUUUUUUUUUAAGAUUUUAUUUAUUUAUUCAUGAGAAACACACAGAAAGAGGUGGAAACACAGGCUUCCUGCAGGGGGCCCAAUGUGGGACUCGAUCCCAGAGCUCGGGAUCACGACCUGAGCCCAAGGCAGACGGUCAACCACUGAGCCACCACCCAGGUGUCCCUCUGCAAUUUAUUUCAAGAAUGCUUUAUAAAUGAAAUGCUUUUUUAUUCGGCAUAAUGUCUCUGAGGCUUACUGAAGUCAUUGGUGUUUUUCCAUAGUUGACAGCUUUCUUUGCUGAAUAGUUGUCCAUGCUAUGGAUGUAACUGCAGUUUGCUUAGCCAUUCAUUCAUCAUAGGACAUUUUAAUUAUUUCCAGAUUGGGGCUAUCACAAGCAAAACUGCCCCAAACAACAAUUUAUGUGUUUCUGUGUAGAGAUUAGUUUUCAUUUCUUUUUGAAUAAAUGCCCAGAAGUGCAUUUUUCUAGGUUGUAUGAAAUGCAUAUUUUUAGAGUUUAAGAAUAUAUCAACUAUUUUCCAGUUUGUACCAUUUGACCUUCUCCCCCAGCAAUAUAUGAUACUUUUUGCCAUAUCCUCACUAAUAUUUAAUAUUUUCACCAUUGCUUUAUUUUAGCUGUUCUUUUUCUUUUUUUUGAGAUUGUAUUUAUUUAUUCAUGAGAAACACAGAGAAAGAAAAGCAGAGACACAGGCAGAGGGAGAAGCAGGCUCCAUGCAAGGAGCUCAAUGUGAGACUUCAUCCCAAGACCCCAGGGUCAUGGCCUGGGCCGAAGGCAGGUGCUCAACCGCUGAGCCACCCCAGGUGUCCCUACUUUGCUAAUAGAUGUUUACUGAUACUUUAUUGUGGUCUUAAUAUAUUUAAUAAGAAAACAAAAUAUUUUUUUCAUGAAAAAAUAUUUCUAAAUAGGCAAGAAACUCUGUCUUUUUUAAGUAUUAACUGACAUUUGGGGGAAAAAGAUAAUUUUGCUAUAAAUUAUUAGAAAAUUGAAGAAAUAGGAAUAAAAAUAUCUAUUUCAAAAAAAUUAAAAAAUAAAAAAAAUAAAUAAAAUAAAAUAAAAUCAAAAUAUCUAUUUCAGGUUAGUUGAGACUGAAACCGGACUUUCUGGACUAAAGUUUAAAAACAUUCCACAUUCCAUGAGGAAUUAUAUAAUUUUAUCUGUAAGCUUCAGGAAUAACAAUGACAAAGAAAAAACAUAUCUCAAUUAUAUGUGGAAUCCAAAAAAGGAGAAUAUAUAGAAGCAGGGAGUAAAAGGGUGGUUGUUGGGAGGAGGGAGGUGGGAGAAAUAGGGAGAUGCUGGUUGAGGUAUAGAGUUGUAGUUACUUAGGAUGAGUAAGUCUAGACAGCCUAGGCAUGACAUGAUGGUUAUAGUUAAUAAUGAUGUGGUGGGGACUGGAAACUUGCUAAGAGAAUAGAUUUCAGGUGCUCUCACCAACACACACAAAGGAGACUAUGUGAAGAUAGGAAUAUGUUAAUUAGUUUGAGUGUACUAAUUAUUUUACUCUGUAUAGGGCUAUCAAACCAGCAUGUUAUACAUCUUAAAUAUACAAUUGUUAUUAAAAUAUAAUAAUAGAAAACACAUUUCUGUUAUCCAUCUUCCUGUUGCACAAUCCCCAGGACUCACACUCAUUAUCUCAAUAUAACUGAAAAAAACAUACUUUUGGAAAAAUACAGUUAUAUCCCUUGGGUAUGACUGUCUUAGGUCUUAGGAAAGUAUAACCCCUAGUUACAAGUGUGAAUUCUCAGAGUUGCAGCUCCAUAUUCCCUAAGUUUAAAUAAAUAAAUAAAUUAAAGGUCUAUGUGUAAGAUAUGUUAAGAUAACAAAUGAUUUGGGACACCUGGGUGUCUCAGCGAUUGAGCGUCUGCCUUCAGCUCAGGGCGUGAUCCUGGGGUCCCGGGAUCGAGUCCUGCAUCGGGCUUCCUGCAUGGAGCCUGCUUCUCCCUCUGCCUGUGUCUCUGCCUCUCUGUGUGUGUCUCUCAUGAACAAAUAAAUAAAAUAUUAAGAAAAUAAAAAUAAAUGAUUUUAGUAUAAAAUGUGCUACUAUAAUAUUAGAAAUAGAGUAAAACUCAGAAUUUAGGUUUCUAACAUUGAGAAAUUACAUGGAACUAGAAAGUAGUUUCCUUGGUAAUUUAACCAAAGUAAAUCUUCUCUCUAACUGAAAUAGCGUGCACACACACAUACUCACACACACACCAUAACAUUUCCUUUGCAUUUUCUUAAAAGGGACUUUUUUUUUUUUCUUUCAGAACAUAUGUUAGCAUUUCAUUUAGGGUCUUAUUAAAAAUGCCCUGGCAUUUCUGCUUGUCUGAAUAGAAUUUCACUACCUCACACAUCUUGAGCAUUAUAAAAUACUGCAUUAACCUUUCUAACAGAGCUUGAUAUGACACAGAAGAUAUAUUUUUUCCGGGAGAAUGUAUUAUUCAUUAAGUAAAUAGUAGAAGCAAUAUGAAAGAAUUGUCUGAGUACUAAAAUUUAAUCAAAGCAAUUAAAGUCAAAGGUGUUAAUAUAUUGCUAGACAUAUUAGAGUCAUUAAAUAUUGUUGGACUUUUCCUUCAGGAAUGAAAUAGACUCCUACUUCAAGUACUCAUCUGAACUUUUAUUAUGCCUCAUCAUUUUUGUACUAACUCAUGAUGCUGAAUUUAUUCCAAGUACUUGUGCGUAAGAUACUGUGAAUUUUACAUUAUUUUUCUGUUGUGUCUAUAGUUGAUAAAUCAUUUGUAACUCACUAUUUAUUAUAUUACUGCUUUAGAGACCUAGUAUAAUAAUGUGCCAGAGAAAUGUUUCAAUAGAUAGAAAUAAUUUCAUAUAACCAUGACACCAAUAAUUUCCAGGAAAAAUAAUUUUUCCACACAAUGCUUUAUGAUUUGACAGCGAAUACUUGAAUGCCAUAUGUCAUUUAUAUAAGCACACUAAAGACUUUUACUUACAGUCAAAUAGGACAGGAAUUACCAGGAUGAGUACCUACACUGUGUCAUCCUCACACUAGACACUUUAUAUUCAGACUCUCACUUCUUAUUAUUAUUGGCAUUUUCAAAUGAAACUCAGAAUAGCUUGCCCAAGAAUCUAAUAGGUAAAAGGCAAACACAAUCUGUAAACCGAGAAUAUAUUAAAACAAUCUUGGGUAGCUCUUGACUGCAGACAAUAAAUGCAAUGACAGGAAAUAACUAGUAUAUGGCAGUCAGACUACCCACACCUGGUUAAAUAAAGAUUUUGAGUAGAAUCCUCAAAGUCGUUAAACAGAGAGAAAAUUAGGAAAGUAUGCAAAUACACUGGUCUUAUGGGAAAGAAACCCAAGAUACAUUAAACCACCAGAAAUACAAAUAGCUAACUCAAUAAACUUUUCAGAAUUCCUAAUAUAAACUGGCAUCUAUGAUUCAAAUAUUAAUGAAAUGUUAAGUGGGAACACACAAAAUUUAAAGCUGAUCUCUCAUUUUAAGCUAUGCCAUAGUUGGAUGAUUUAAUGACAAAGAGCGGGAAAACGUGAAUUACUAAAGGAUAGAGAUCGGUCAGUGCAUAUUAUUGCUUCUAUGCCUAUAAAUUCGUUCCCAAUAACAGGAAAUACCCAUUAUGUUUCCAGCUUUGUGAUUUCUGAGUGGGGAAUAAAGAAAGUGUGGGAGUCUAAGGGCGGCCGUGCCCUGGAGCUGUGGUUGCUCAGAUUUUCAGAUCAGGCUUCCUGGUCAGGGGUUCCUGUGUUAUAUUGUACACCUUACACUUAUGCAAUGUUGCAUGUAAUUAUAUCUCAAUAAAACUGGGAGGGAAAAAGGGAAAGAUUUUGCACCUGGACAUUCUUCCCAGCCCAACAAACAGCUUUCCAGAGAUGGGUGGUGUUCUGAUCCUUCAAUGCAGAUGUCCGAGCCAUGUAGAGAGCUAUCAAUAGCUCCUGUUUCAUUUGUGACACUAACUUUCUUCUAUUCUGCAACAGAAACAUGAAAAAUAAAGAAGUAUAAUUUCCAAAAAAAAAAAA